GAAGUCGGAAUCCGCUAAGGAGUGUGUAACAACUCACCUGCCGAAUGAAUUAGCCCUGAAAAUGGAUGGCGCUCAAGCGGGCAGCCGACACCACACCGUUUGUUUUAAUAAAAACAGAUGAGUAGGAGGGCGUGGAGGCCGUGUCGAAGCACGCGUGCAAACGCUUGUGGAACGGCCUCUAGUGCAGAUCUUGGUGGUAGUAGCAAAUAUUCAAGCGAGAUCCUUGAAGGGCGAAGCGGGGAAGGGUUCCACGCGAACAUUGAUUGGGCGUGGGUGAGUCGUUCCUAAGCCGAGUGGCCAUUGCUAAUUAUAGGCGAAAGGGAAGCGGGUUGAAAUUCCCGCACACGGAUGUGGAGGCGGUGACGCGCAUUGAGGCGAAAACAUCGGCGAUGGCGCUGGGCAGAGAUGUCUUUUCUGUUUAAUCAUUUAUCAUGCUGUGUGGAAUCCGCUUGUCGGGAGAAACACGCGUGAAAGGUAAGAGCGCCGGGGCUUUUCCGGCGUCCAGCUCGCCAACGACGGUCCUUGAAAAUUUGCCUAAUGAAUUAAGAUCCACGCCGUGGCGUACCGAUAACCGCAUCAGGUCCCCAAGGUGAACAGCCUCUGUCCAAUAUGAAAAAUGUAGGUAAGGGAAGUCGGCAAAUUGGACCCGUAACUUUGGGAAAAGGGUUGGCUCUAGUGCUGCGUGGGAAUAGUUGCCUUGUGUUUUGCUUGUGUGGCCCAGCUAUAUGGACUGUCCGCAAGGAUGGACCUGCGCGAGGUACCUUGUGAACGCAGGGCGACGCCCACAGCAUGCAGCGAACUAGAACUGCAACGGGCAAAGGGAAUCCGACUGUUUAAUUAAAACAAAGCAUUGCGAGGGCCGUGGCCGGUGUUGACGCAAUGUGA
rnacentral:rRNA from 1 species